CCUUAUCAUUUAGAGGAAGGAGAAGUCGUAACAAGGUUUCCGUAGGUGAAUCUGCGAAAGGAUCAUUAUCGAUGCCCCACGCAGCAGAACGACCUGCGAACUUAUCAUGACCACUGGGGAAGCAAGAGGCUAGCCGCCAGGUCCCUCAUGUUGCCUUUCGUCGGGAGUACGCUCGGAGCCCCUACGGGGGUUGCGGGUGCCAUUCAUCGGUGAACCAACAAACCCCGGCACGAAUCGCGCCAAGGAACCUGAACAAGAGAGCACGCUCAGUGCAUCUCACAAAAAAAAACUAAACGACUCUCGACAACGGAUAUCUCGGAUCUCGCAUUGAUGAAGAAAGUAGCGAAAUGCGAUACUUGGUGUGAAUUGCAGAAUCCCGUGAACCAUCAAGUCUUUGAACACAAGUUGCGCCGAAAGCCAUUAGGUUGAGGGCACGUCUGCUUGGGCAUCUCACAAUGCGUCGCCCUCAACCCCUUACCCGAAGGAAGGGUUACCGGCGGAUGUUGACCCCCCAUGCGCGCCGGCAUGCUGUUGGCCUAAAAAUGAGUUCCCCCGCGAUAGGCGGCGCGUCGCAAUGAUUGGUGGUUGACAAACUGUUGCAUCGUGUCGAACACGUCCCGGUCGUCGCGGGAGGUCUAUUGCCACCCUAUUGCGCCGUUGCCAAGGCACUCCGAUUGCAACCCUAGGUUAGGCAGGACUACCCGCUGAGUUUAAGCAUAUCA
rnacentral:misc_RNA from 1 species